rnacentral:rRNA from 1 species
AUUGAACGCUGGCGGCAGGCCUAACACAUGCAAGUCGAGCGGAUGAAGGGAGCUUGCUCCUGGAUUCAGCGGCGGACGGGUGAGUAAUGCCUAGGAAUCUGCCUGGUAGUGGGGGAUAACGUCCGGAAACGGGCGCUAAUACCGCAUACGUCCUGAGGGAGAAAGUGGGGGAUCUUCGGACCUCACGCUAUCAGAUGAGCCUAGGUCGGAUUAGCUAGUUGGUGGGGUAAAGGCCUACCAAGGCGACGAUCCGUAACUGGCCUGAGAGGAUGAUCAGUCACACUGGAACUGAGACACGGUCCAGACUCCUACGGGAGGCAGCAGUGGGGAAUAUUGGACAAUGGGCGAAAGCCUGAUCCAGCCAUGCCGCGUGUGUGAAGAAGGUCUUCGGAUUGUAAAGCACUUUAAGUUGGGAGGAAGGGCAGUAAGUUAAUACCUUGCUGUUUUAACGUUACCAACAGAAUAAGCACCGGCUAACUUCGUG